AGGACGAACGCUGGCGGCGUGCUUAACACAUGCAAGUCGAGCGGAAAGGCCCUUCGGGGUACUCGAGCGGCGAACGGGUGAGUAACACGUGAGUAAUCUGCCCUUAGCUCUGGGAUAGCUCCGGGAAACCGGGAUUAAUACCAGAUACGACCACUUUAGACAUCUGCCGUGGUGGAAAGAAUUUCGGCUAAGGAUGAGCUCGCGGCCUAUCAGCUUGUUGGUGGGGUAACGGCCUACCAAGGCGACGACGGGUAGCCGGCCUGAGAGGGCGACCGGCCACACUGGGACUGAGACACGGCCCAGACUCCUACGGGAGGCAGCAGUGGGGAAUAUUGCGCAAAUGGGCGAAAGCCUGACGCAGCGACGCCGCGUGGGGGAUGAAGGCCUUCGGGUUGUAAACCCCUUUCAGCAGGGACGAAGCGAAAGUGACGGUACCUGCAGAAGAAGCGCCGGCUAACUACGUGCCAGCAGCCGC
rnacentral:rRNA from 1 species